rnacentral:rRNA from 1 species
ACGGGAGGCAGCAGUGGGGAAUAUUGGGCAAUGGGCGAAAGCCUGACCCAGCAACGCCGCGUGAAGGAAGAAGGUCUUCGGAUUGUAAACUUCUUUUAUGAGGGACGAAGGACGUGACGGUACCUCAUGAAUAAGCCACGGCUAACUACGUGCCAGCAGCCGCGGUAAUACGUAGGUGGCAAGCGUUAUCCGGAUUUACUGGGUGUAAAGGGCGCGUAGGCGGGGAUGCAAGUCAGAUGUGAAAUCCAUGGGCUUAACUCAUGAACUGCAUUUGAAACUGUAUCUCUUGAGUGCUGGAGAGGUAGAUGGAAUUCCUUGUGUAGCGGUGAAAUGCGUAGAUAUAAGGAGGAACACCAGUGGCGAAGGCGGAUUGCUGGACAGUAACUGACGGUGAGGCGCGAAAGUGUGGGGAGCAAACAGGAUUAGAUACCCUGGUA